rnacentral:rRNA from 1 species
CGUACACUCCUACGGGAGGCAGCAGUGGGGAAUAUUGCACAAUGGGCGCAAGCCUGAUGCAGCCAUGCCGCGUGUAUGAAGAAGGCCUUCGGGUUGUAAAGUACUUUCAGCGGGGAGGAAGGCGAUAAGGUUAAUAACCUUGUUGAUUGACGUUACCCGCAGAAGAAGCACCGGCUAACUCCGUGCCAGCAGCCGCGGUAAUACGGAGGGUGCAAGCGUUAAUCGGAAUUACUGGGCGUAAAGCGCACGCAGGCGGUCUGUCAAGUCGGAUGUGAAAUCCCCGGGCUCAACCUGGGAACUGCAUUCGAAACUGGCAGGCUAGAGUCUUGUAGAGGGGGGUAGAAUUCCAGGUGUAGCGGUGAAAUGCGUAGAGAUCUGGAGGAAUACCGGUGGCGAAGGCGGCCCCCUGGACAAAGACUGACGCUCAGGUGCGAAAGCGUGGGGAGCAAACAGGAUUAGAAACCCCGGUAGUCCC